CACGUAGUUAGCCGGGGCUUCUUACUCAGGUACCGUCAUUUCUUUCUUCCCUGCUGAUAGAGCUUUACAUACCGAAAUACUUCUUCACUCACGCGGCGUCGCUGGAUCAGGGUUUCCCCCAUUGUCCAAUAUCCCCCACUGCUGCCUCCCGUAGGAGUUUGGGCCGCGUCUCAGUCCCAAUGUGGCCGUCCACCCUCUCAGGCCGGCUACUGAUCGUCGCCUUGGUGGGCCGUUACCCCGCCAACCAGCUAAUCAGACGCGGGUCCAUCUUACACCACUAAUGUUUUUCACUCUGUCCCAUGCGGGACUGUGCGCUUAUGCGGUAUUAGCACCUAUUUCUAAGUGUUAUCCCCCUGUGUAAGGCAGGUUACCCACGCGUUACUCACCCGUCCGCCACUAAGUUAUCAACUUUUCCACUCUUAGCAAGCUAAUCGCUUCAAAAAUGAUAACUCCGUUCGACUUGCAUGUGUUAAGCACGCCGCCAGCGUUCAUCCUGAGCCAGGAUCAAACUCU
rnacentral:rRNA from 1 species